UACGGAGGGGGCUAGCGUUGUUCGGAAUUACUGGGCGUAAAGGGCGCGUAGGCGGCCUCGCGAGUCAGGCGUGAAAGGCCCGGGCUCAACCCGGGAACGGCGCUUGAUACUGCGAGGCUCGAGGCCGGGAGAGGAUGGCGGAAUUCCCAGUGUAGAGGUGAAAUUCGUAGAUAUUGGGAAGAACACCGGUGGCGAAGGCGGCCAUCUGGACCGGUACUGACGCUGAGGCGCGAAAGCGUGGGGAGCAAACAGG
rnacentral:rRNA from 1 species